rnacentral:lncRNA from 1 species
CUAGGAACAUGAGGUUGCGGGUUCGAUCCCUGGCCUUGCUCAGUGGGUUGAGGAUCCAGCGUUGCUGUGAGCUGUGGUGUAGGUUGCAGACAUGGCUCGGAUCCCACAUUGCUGUGGCUCUGGUGUGGGCCAGUGCUACAGCUCUGAUUAGAUUCCCACGCCUGGGAACCUCCAUAUGCCGCAGGUGCGGCCCUAAAAGGAUAAAAGACAAAAAAAAAAAAAAAAGAAAGAAAGAAAUCAGUAUAAUUUUGAAAAAGUCAAUAAAAUCAUGUUCUAUUGAAACAAUCAAAAUAUUGAAUAUAUAAGUGACCACUGCUAUCAUUGCAUUUUAAAACUUCCAAUGCUCUGAAAUAGGGAUUCACAGGACGUAGUUGUAGGUUUAAGAGAUUAUACUUAAUGAAAAAACUCUCCGUUUUUUAAAAAAUUGUACAGUUUUACACUCAACCGAAUUCUCAUCCCUUCCAUCGCUCCUAGUGACAGGGAGAAGAAAAUCUGUAUAAUAGAAAAUUGUAUGUAAUUGAUAAUUUGACCUAGGCAUCUGAUUGUUUCCUUUAGUUCAAGUCCAGAGCUGGCUAAUACUAUGGAAAUACCUGUGAUGGAAAAUCUUUAAUGGAAAGUUUUUUCGUAAUAGAGGUAUGUGCUUCUGAAAGAGGUAUGUGCUUCUGGUAAUGUAUCAUCAUCAUCUAUCGACAUUUAGUAACUGUGUUUACUAGUACUUCUUCUUACAGGACAUAAAUUUGCCCUUGGGGUAAAGUAAGUCAGGAGAAAGAAAUCUAUCCUAUCCUUCUUCUUUGGAAUUUUGCCAAGUAUAUUCAUGUCGAUUUUGAGGCUGUCAUUUUAUUUUAUACUGUUCUUUUCCAUUUGGUUUGGCUUGUCCUGACUGUUUUUUUUUUUUAAUUCCUUUGAAUUAUCUAAUUUGAAAAAAAAUACUGCUAAUACAGUCUCAAAUACUGAAGGAAAAAUAAUACCUAUUGUCAAGAGAAUUAAAAAGAAAAAAAAUGCAAUGUGGUGAGCUUUCAAAACGUAAAAAUUAUUUUGUUUGUUUUAUUUUUUCAAAGAGCAUUCUCCCUUUAUUAAUUUUUUUUCAAAAUUUCUACAUCUAGCAACUAAAAAGUUGUGCUAUAUGUAGAAGGUAGGAAGGGUUAUUAAUCCAGUUUCUAGAAAAACCUUCCACAGCUCAUUAGUUGAAGGAGAGAGAAAUCAUCCCCGUAAGGAAUUCAUCUUCACUCCCAUUCUUUCUGGACUGGGCUUUCCUUCUGGCUAAUAAUUACAGCUGAGUGACAAUUCAACAGAAUCACAAAGUGGGGAAAGUCUUUUAAAUACGGGUUAAUAGCUUUGUAAAUCUGGUGCCUUAAGCAAAAUUAAAUUAAACAUUUAGUCAUCCAUCUUAAGCAUCCUUAACAAUUCAGAACUUCACAGUAUACCCAGAACCAAAGAAUUCAAAUAACUUUUACCAAGAGCCAACUUGGGCCAGACAGUGCUAAGGAUUACUGAGUUGAGAGGCUAUUCAGACUCUGCCCUGUGAGAAAAGUGGUGUGAGACAAAGAGGUCAUCAAUAGACUAACAGCUGGUCAGAGGUGAGGAUAGCAUCAGAUGCCAGUUGCAUUUGGUCUGUUUCCAAACAGCUUCUGCUUGGGGGAACCCUGUGUUAUAGAAACUACUGCAGAGAAGUUUGUCUAAGGUACUUGUCAGUGUCCAUUAAGCACAGUCUUCCUCACCAUGUUUUCCUUCCGUAACUAAGAUCAUUAUUUCCACUUAACCAUGUUUUGGUUUAAGUUACAAUUGAUGAAAGUUAUCUUACUGUUAUCACUUGACAGGUUUAUUGUUAGACUAAUACCCAGUAACAAACCCUGAAACUUGAGAAUUAAACUGUUAAGUAUCCAUCAUUUAAUAAUUUAUAUCUUUCUCCAUGUUCUGAUUUAAUUCCAGAAUGUUAUCAAUCAUUUUGAGUUGUGAUAUAUUCACUUAGUUUUUAGGCACAGUUUUGAGACUCUUAGUUAUUAAAAUAAUAGCUUAAUAGUUUAGAGAAGAGUUUUCCUAACAGAAUCUUUUACUGAGGAAUUGUUUAUUACAUUUAGCUAUUAACCAAUCGAAUUAUAAGGUGAUCCAGAUUCUUUUUUUUUUGAUAUUUAUAUUUUCUUUUUCAUAUUCUUUUCCAUUAUGGUUUAUUAUAAAGUAUUGAAUAUAGUUCCUUGUACUAUAAAGUAGGAUCUUGUUAUUUAUCCUUUUUAGAUGUAGUAGUUUGUAUCAGUUAAUCCCAAACUCCCAAUUUAUCUCCCCCCAACACACAUACCUUUUUCCCUUUGGUAACUUUAAAUUUGCUUUCUGUGUUUGUGAGUUUGUUUCUUUCUUACAAAUAAAUUCAUUUGUAUUAUAUUUUAGAUUCCACAUAUUGGAUAUCAUAUGAUACUUGUCUUUCUCUGACUGAUUUACUUCACUUAGGUAAUCUCUAGGUCCGUCCAUGUUGCUGCAAAUGCGAUUAUUCCAUUCUUCAUUUCUGAGUAAUGUUCCCUUGUAUAUACACAAUAUGUAUAUACAAUAUCUUCCUUAUCCAUUCAUCUGUUGAUGAACAUUUAAUUGCUUCUAUGUCUUGGCUAUUGUAAAUAAUGCUGCUAUGAACAUUGGGGUGCAUGUAUCUUUUUGAAUUAUAUUUUUCUCCAGAUAUAUGCUUAGGAGUGAGAAAACUAGAUAAUAUGACAAUUUUAUUUUUAGUUUUUUGAGCAAACUUCAUACUGUUUUCCAUAGUGGCUUCACAAAUUUACAUUCUCACCAGUAGUGUAGGAGGGCUCCUUUUUCUCCAUAUACUCUCCAGUGGUUGUUAUUUGUACUUUUUAAUGAUGGCCAUUGUAAAUCCAUGUGAGGUGAUGAGGUGACAGAGGUUCUAAUUUGUUCUUUCAUUUUUUUUUUUUUUACUCACAAAUACUAAAUUAUCAUGAGGAUGAAAAUAACUGAAUUCUAUUUUUAGUUAAAUAACUAAAAAUUAUUAAGUAGCAGGCACAGAAAGUCAUAAAUUUUACAUUUAAAACUUGAAAAAAAUUUUCAUAACCUCUCUGUUUCAGCCAACAAACAUUUUUGGAACACUAUGAGUCAGUUAUUGCAAUGAAGACAUCAAGUUGAAUUAGAGUAGUAUAAAAUCCAGUACCAUUAUUUGUAUUGCCCGUCUCAAGUAGACAUGAGGGAAAAUGGGUCUGUGAGUUAGAGGCUGGAGAAACAGAAAUAUCUUUUUUUACAGAAGCAUGUGAAGAUGGGGUUUUUAUCUUUCUGGUUUUCUAGGCUGGUUGGUCUUUGUAACAAUGUCCAUUAAGACAUGGGUUUGUAAAUAAUACCAUAAACUCAGCUUGAGAAAUGUUCUUACAGUGUAGUUAACUUUUUAGAAAUGUAAUAAACUAAAUAGAUAUUAUGCCCCCAUUCACCCAUUAAAAUACUUUGCUCUACAAAUUCUAGAAAAAAAAUUCAUUGUUUUCAAUGGAUUUUCACAUCCCUCAAAAAUAAAAAUAAAUAUAUUAUUUUUUUUUAUAUUGGGUCUUAUGAGUUUUGUAGACCUACCUUAAUUGUUUCUACCCCAGAAAAUUUAGAAUUACUGUCUUGAAAAUAGAAACAAAUUUUUCAUGAAAUCAUGAAAAUCAUCUUAUAUAAAUUAUCCAGUUUUGCCUUAUUUAACUUCUCUUUGCUGGAGAAUGUUUAACAGGGUGAUAGAAAAUUUCUCUCUUGAAUACUUUCAGGAAUCAGACUUCAGGAGGUGGCAUUCCUAGUCUACUGUGUUAGUGUCUAGGGAAUGUGCUGUCAUAUAUGUGGACAUUUGCACAGCUGUUCCAUCCCCAUUAUACCAUGUACUAUGGCUCUGCCCUGGUAAUUAACCCACCGUCCACUAACAACACAAACAAUAUAAAUGAAGUUUGCCAUGUGUUUUAAUGUAGAUAAUAAAGGUGCAAAUAAUGGCCUGCUGGUCAUCCUGUCACCUAAAUUGAAAUUACCAAGAUUCUGGUGAGAUCAAAAAGUGCACAGUUGAAGUUGAAAAAAUUUUAUAUAUGAAAGCCUAAAGUUCAAUUUUUUAAACAUAUAAUUUUAAAAACAUACAGUUCUAAGUUAUCUAUAGAAAAUAGGUCAGCAAAAAUACUGAGUUAUUUGAGAUGAAAAGUAAGGUAAAUAUUCCCACCUGUAUUAUUUCUUUCUCUAUAGUCCUAGAAUAUUAUUUAAAUAUGAAUAUAUGAAUAUAAAGAGUAGAAAUAAUAUUUCUUCUCUAUUGAUUUUUUUAAAAUAUAGUAAAAGCCAAGAAGUAAAAGUGUCUUGAUUCCCAGGCUAUUAAUCCAAAUUUUUUUCCUAAAUGAAAUAUCCUAUUUAUAUCACACAUUCACUGUAACAUCUCUAACUAUGCAUAUGUAAUAUAUAUUUAUAUAUGAGUAAAUUUACAUAUAUACAUAUGGAUUUUAUCUUUACUUACAUCUACAUAUUUAUGAAUAUUUAUUAUCAUAAUUAAAAAUUAAGGAUCAUUGGUCUAUCAGUGUGCUCUCUUGAUAUAUCUAUAUUCAGAUUCUGUAAGUGCUUAUUUUUUUUUUGGUUGUAGCUGCAGCAUGUAGAAGUUCCCAGGCCAGGGACUAAAUCUUUGCCACAUCAGCAAGCCAAGCCACUGUGGUGACAACACUGGAUCUUUAACCACUAGGCCACCAGGGUACUCAAGUGCUGAAUUUUUUUAAAAAAUGUAGCUUCUGAUUUUUUUUGUCAAUUAAUAGCAAAGAUGAAGUUUUGAUGAAUGAAUCUUUACAGUUAAUUAUAUAUCUUAUUUCCAUUUUAUAGCCAUUUGGGGGGACUAGAAAUAGGAAAAGGGGGGAAAAGAUGAGCGACCGAAAUAGAUAAAGUUUUAAAGACACAAGAAGCACACAUAAGAAUGUUAGAGGCCAAUGAGGAAAACAGAUGAGUAAGCAGAGGAAGAAUAACUGUAGGAUGAGAACCUAUGCAGAUGAAGGGGAAAGUAAUCUGUAGAUGAGAUAGAAGAAAUAUAAGAGGUUUAGUAGCUUCUACGUGGAUCCCAUUUAGGUAAUGACCAUCAGAGAGUUAUGACUUGUAUAUACUUCUCUUUGAAAUGUUUUCUAUAGAGUAUUGAUAGUGUUUAGGUUUUUCUAAUGUUGAAAUUAUUUGUGGUUCUUUGCUCAUAAGCAUAAUGAGAAUAAACAUUCUCUGUGCUACAGGCCUAAUGAAAGCUGUCUCUGGCGUCCGGUUUUCCAGACUGCGCAUUACAGAUACAGUGCCUGAAAACGUUAAUGUACACACGCAAAUUCAUAAAUAAAUGAUGAGAAGUUUAUUAUAUUGACUACUAGUGCAGAGAAACAUAUUUUGCUUGGGGAAACACCAUAAUAAGCCUCUUGCAACUUGAUAUAAAGGAUGGAAUGCUGUGGGCAUGAAUGAAAGUGGCCAUCAACAUACCAAAGGAAGAGAAGCUCCUUCUAUGCAAUGAAGAGCCGGAAAUGGAAAGGGUUGGUUGGUUUCUGCAGAAAGUAUAAGAUAGCGGGAGAGAAGGAUUGAGGAAGACAGGUUGAGGGAAAGAAUGAGUCUGGACUUAGCAAAGAGCCACUGUUUUUCAUUUGAACCUGUUUACCUUGCUGAUAUUGAGUCAUUGUUCUGUCUCUCUUCACAAAACAUUAAAAGGUCUGUAUACAAAUGCUUGAAGUAGGGGAUUUUCUUAAAGAAGAGGAGGCACUCAAGCAUUGAAAGAGUAUGUGCAGUAGCUUAGCUCAGGAAACAGAAGAUACUAUUAGAAAGCAAAAAUCCCCACUGCUCACCUCUUCCAAAAAUUCAGGAAAAGUUCAGGGAGGACUUGAAGUUGGUAAUUUGUAGAAUUGGAGGUGAUUGUAGUUUCUCAAAUCAGUUCUUCCUAAAUUUCUGAAGCUUUGGGAGCUAUCAAAUUAACACAGAUUUCUGUCCAGAUCUAGAAUUAUCAAAUUAUGUGGAGCUUGGUUUGGCUUUGCUUUUCCCUGUCUCAUCCAUUUAUUUCUCUUAAAAUAUGCCAGAAUGUUUGAUUCACAGUGAAUGUAUCAAAGCCAUGUUUUUCAAUGCAAUUCAAUACUGAAGGCAGUAUAUUGAAUGUUUCUGUUGUUGGACCAUUCUGUUUCAACAGUGCAGGUGGAAGAGGCAAGAAUAACAGUGAUGUAACCUCUUAAAGAGGAUUGGUGUGCUAGUUACUUUGCAGAUGGGUAAGAACGUGGCCUUAAGUGUCAAUUUGACACUGGAUUACAUCUCAGCUCCUGUAUUUAAGCUCAGGCAGAUUUCUUUAAGUUGUAGUUCCUGGAAAAUAUGGAUGAUAACAUUCUAUACCUCAAGAUUUUAGUGUGAGUAUUCUAAGAAGUAGUGCACAAAAUGUGCUUAGCAUUGUCUUUGGUGCAUGAAUACCUGGUAGCUCUUGUUGUCAAUAUAAUUGAUAAUUUUUUAAAAUCUCAAAACCAAUGGAAAUUUAGAGUCCAGUAUAUUCUCCAAGUAUGGAAGAGGUGAAGUUUACAUUAAGGCUUAAAGAAUGUAUAGAUUUUAUACAGGUAGAAGGAAAUAAGAAUCUUAGCUCAAUAUAAAAAGAAACAUACUCAGAUGUAGGAAUUAACAUGGCACAUAUGGGGGAGAGGGUUUCUACCUGAUUGAUUGGAAUUCAAGGUAGAUAUGUUUGUGAUGGCAGAAAAUAAGGUUAAAUAUGAAAAAUGGGUAUAGGAUACAGCACAUCUUGGACUUCUGAAGAAUGUUGGCUCAAUAGGACAGGUCAGAAGGAGCUGUUAUAUACUUGGAAGCAUGGACAUAAGUUUGUUUCAGGAAGUUCAAUCAAUUGUGUUAUGCAAGAUGGACUGAAGCCAAAGGAACCAGACGGCUCUGUAGUUAUCAAAGAAUGAAGUGAGGAGAAAUUGGAAUAAUAUUGACUGAAAGUAAAAUGUUUUUCUUUUUAUAUAAAGCUCUAAAUCUUUAAGUAAAAGAGGAAGACUUCUGUAAGAAUGCCUCUGUACAGAAUAAAAAAAUCAGAAUGCUAUAGGUAAAGCAGUAAUAGAAGAAGGGCAUGGUAUAGCCAUAAACUUAAAUCAAGUGUCCUCAAUUUAUUACUGAAAUAUCUAAGGAUUAAUGAAUAAAUAUUGUUUAUAUCUUCUGUUACAAAAUAAAAGCAAUUUUAUGAGUUUAACCAAUGGGAACUUGGUACCACUGGAUAAAUAAUACUACUUAUGCUUGAAGCAUUGUGAGAGAAUGUUAAGUAGAUAAUUGUGAGUGUUCCACUACAUUAAAGUUUAAAAACAUCUUCCUAAAAACAUACGAACUUGAGGGUCCCAUGUUAUACAAAAAUGUUAUCUUUUUUUUACCAUUAGUAAUGGUAUGGCUGGAGUUCCCAUGGUGGCUCAGUGGUAAUGAACCUGGCUAGUAUCCAUGACAAUGAUCCCUGACCUUGCUCAAUGGGCUAAGGAUCUGGCGUUGCUGUGAGCUGUGGUAUGGGUCACAGAUGAGUCUUGGAUUCUGCGUUGCUGUGGCUGUGGCAUAGUCCAGCAGAUACAGCUUCGACUCGACAUUAGCCUGGGAACUUCCAUAUGCUGUGGGU